GUCAUCGGAAAGAAGAGACUGCAAUUCAAAAACAACUCAGAGAACAUAGUUAUUUAAAAAUUAAAUAAAGGAAACAUGAAGCAAAAUAUAGAAGAAAAAAUUGUACUACCUCAUCCGUGACCAAAUAAUAUAUGCAGGGUCCCCCUGUAGUUCUAGGAAAUCCCAAUGCUGAUGCAUUAAAGAGGCUCAACCUUAUUGGCUUUAUCAUUAACCCAAAAAUUAGAGUACAUACAACUAUAUUGAUAAAUGGAGCUGUAGCUAUUACAGAAAUGAUUGUCAUAGUAAAAAGGAAAUUUAAUUAGUUAUAAUUGUAAAACUUAACUUUGUCUUCAUCAAACGAGCCAAAUUAAACCUGGAGAACAAGUUCAAAGGAAAAACUAUUGAUUAAGUAAUAUGAAAAACAGAUAAAAAGGAAGAUUGCUUGUUUAGAAUAAAGUAGUAGGCAUCGGAUUUUCAUAUUCAGAUGUUAAUCAUCAUACCUUGGAUGUCAUGUGGCCUCUCUUCCUCAGAAGUGCUCCUUUGAACCUUUGCCCUUAUCAUGUGGUCUGCUGCAAGAAAAUGUGUACGGACUGCUCCUUUGAACCUUUGCCCCUUAUCUUACCCCAUGCCAUUUUUCAUAGUUAUUUACUACUAAAUAGAACUAUAAAAUGAAACCUCUGACAGCUAGCUUCUCUGUUCUUUUGAAGAGCUUGCUUAGAAGACUAGUUUGAGAUGUUAAAAUGUAAAUUUUCCCCACUUUAAAA
rnacentral:lncRNA from 1 species